rnacentral:pre_miRNA from 1 species
GUCUGAGGUUGGGUCUUUGCGGGCAAGGUGAGUGCUGUAAGGUCUCUCAACUGGCCUACAAAGUCCCAGCUUUGGAC